rnacentral:rRNA from 1 species
UACGAAGGGGGCUAGCGUUGCUCGGAAUUACUGGGCGUAAAGGGCGCGUAGGCGGAUAUCUAAGUUGGGGGUGAAAUCCCGGGGCUCAACCUCGGAAUUGCCUUCAAAACUGGAUAUCUUGAGUUCGGGAGAGGUGAGUGGAACUCCGAGUGUAGAGGUGAAAUUCGUAGAUAUUCGGAAGAACACCAGUGGCGAAGGCGGCCCACUGGAUCGGUACUGACGCUGAGGUGCGAAAGCGUGGGGAGCAAACAGG